UGGCUCAGAUUGAACGCUAGCGGGAUGCCUUACACAUGCAAGUCGAACGGCAGCACGGACUUCGGUCUGGUGGCGAGUGGCGAACGGGUGAGUAAUGUAUCGGAACGUGCCUAGUAGCGGGGGAUAACUACGCGAAAGCGUAGCUAAUACCGCAUACGCCCUACGGGGGAAAGCAGGGGAUCGCAAGACCUUGCACUAUUAGAGCGGCCGAUAUCGGAUUAGCUAGUUGGUGGGGUAACGGCUCACCAAGGCGACGAUCCGUAGCUGGUUUGAGAGGACGACCAGCCACACUGGGACUGAGACACGGCCCAGACUCCUACGGGAGGCAGCAGUGGGGAAUUUUGGACAAUGGGGGAAACCCUGAUCCAGCCAUCCCGCGUGUGCGAUGAAGGCCUUCGGGUUGUAAAGCACUUUUGGCAGGAAAGAAACGUCAUGGGUUAAUACCCCGUGAAACUGACGGUACCUGCAGAAUAAGCACCGGCUAACUACGUGCCAGCAGCCGCGGUAAUACGUAGGGUGCAAGCGUUAAUCGGAAUUACUGGGCGUAAAGCGUGCGCAGGCGGUUCGGAAAGAAAGAUGUGAAAUCCCAGAGCUUAACUUUGGAACUGCAUUUUUAACUACCGAGCUAGAGUGUGUCAGAGGGAGGUGGAAUUCCGCGUGUAGCAGUGAAAAUGCGUAGAUAUGCGGAGGAACACCGAUGGCGAAGGCAGCCUCC
rnacentral:rRNA from 1 species